UGGGAUCUGGGUGGGGUUUGGUGGGAUGUGGGUGGGAUGCGCGUCUUCGCCGUCAACGCCAUCGGGGUGUCGCAGCCCAGCCACAACACGCAGCCCUUCAUGCCCAUCGGUAUGGGGCAGGGGGGGUUUGUAGGGUUUUUGAUGGGAUUUGUUGGGAUCUCAAUGGGAUUUGUUGGGAUCUCAAUGGGAUCUGAUGGGAUUUGUUGGGAUCUGGAUGGGAUUUGUUGGGUUCUCGAUGGGUUUUGUUGGGAUCUGGAUGGGAUUUGUUGGGAUCUGGAUUGGUUUUGUUGGGUUCUGGAUGGGUUUUCUUGGGUUCUGGAUGGGUUUUGUAUGGAUCUCAAUGGGAUUUGUUGGGUUCUCGAUGGGUUUAGUUGAGAUCUCAAAGGGAUUUGUUGGAUUUUGUUGGGUUCUCAGUGGGUUUUGUUGGAUCUUGUUGGGUUAUGUUGGAUUCUCAGUGGGAUUUGUUGCAUUCUCAAUGGGAUUUGCUGGGUCCUGGAUGGGAUUUGUUGGCUUUUGUUGGGUCCUGGAUGGGAUUUGUUGGGUUUUGUUGGGUCCUGGAUGGGAUUUGUUGGGUUUUGUUGGGUCCUGGAUGGGAUUUGUUGGGAUCUCAAUGGGAUUUGUUCAGUUCUCAAUGGGUUUUGUUGGGUCCUGGAUGGGAUUUGUUGGGAUCUCAAUGGGAUUAGUUCAGUUCUCAAUGGGUUUUGUUGGGUCCUGCAUGGGAAUAGUUGGGUUUUGUUGGGUCCUGGAUGGGAUUAGUUGGGUUUUGUUGGGUUCUCGAAGGGAUUUGUUGGGAUCUCAAUGGGAUUUGUUGGGAUCUGAUGGAAUUUGUAGGGUUUGUUGGGUUCUCGAUGGGAUUUGUUGGGUCCUGGAUGGGAUUUGUUGGGUUUUGUUGGGAUCUGAUGGGAUUUGUUGGGUCCUGGAUGGGGUUUGUUGGGUUUUGUUGGGUCCUGGAUGGGAUUUGUUGGCUUCUCAUAGGGUUUGGUGGGAUCUGGGUGGGGUUUGGUGGGAUGUGGGUGGGAUGCGCGUCUUCGCCGUCAACGCCAUCGGGGUGUCGCAG
rnacentral:lncRNA from 1 species